AAUGUUGAAAAUGUGGACAUCGUAAGUUUCACUGUGAAAAUCUUUUUUUUUUCACCACAUUUUCAUUUUCCUGCUGUUAUGGUAACAUUGCCAUGAAUAAUAAAAAUAAUCCACUGAAUCUUCAGUUCCUCAAACGCUGGGAGUGUAUGAACCCUCUUGUGUUCACUCUUGCAGCCAACAGCAGAACAUUUAGUGUGCUUUAGUGUGCAAUGGCUGAUUACUCGGUUUGUCGCUUACAUGAUUGUCCAGCAGUUGGAGCCAGUCGUUGAGGUGGUUGACGAGGGUGAAGGCGUCUGGGAUGUUGUCGCCUUCUGAACAGAAGAGCAGCAGCACGGCCAGCGACAGAUCCUCUGUACAGCUGAACAUACAUCCAAGAAACAUGAUCAGAUGUGAAUAAAGCCUCUGAUAGUAAACUUUCAAGUUGUUUUAGUUCACUGAAUUCAGAAGACGCUAGUGUGUUGUUGUUAUGUUAUACAAUUGUUUUGUUCUGUGCUGUGUUUGAGUAGGUAAGGUAGGUUGUGUUUUUUUUUCCUCUCUUUUUCCUGUUCCCAGGUUACGCCUGGUGGGCGUGGCUAGGUGCACCUGUGGCUCCUUACAAUCAGCAGGGAUGGUUAAAGGAUGAGCCAACCUGAUCAUCGUGGCCAGUGGGCCGAUCAGCUGCCAGUGUGCUGUUGUUGUCUCGCAUUCUGCUUAAGGCCAAGUGUCUAAUGGUUAAAGGGUGGUGUGAGAGUGUGCUCAGCUUUGCAUUUACGAAGCUUGCUGUGUGUUGGAAUUUUUUUUGUGGUAAAUGAAUUUACUUUUGUUGAGGUGACACAAGCAGUUUUCCUGCCUCUGCGGAUGUAGAGUCGUGGUUCUGUGUUGGCGUCCGUCAGUCCAGGGAAGGCCGACACUCGCUCCAUCUCCCUCCAGCCCAACUCCUUCAGAGCGUCUGCACUCACCUUCAGCAGGGACGGAGUGACCAGGUACCUCAAAGGAGUGCUGACAUAAACAGCUGCUGGUCGUCCCUCUGGUAGGCGUGACUGCUGGAAAGAACCACUGUCCUGGAGAACCCACUGGCUUUGAUCCAAGACACGAGAAGCUGGCGGAACUUCUUGGACUUUGUCUGCAGUUAAAACAAAAGUUAGAGUCGUAACACCAACUUUUAUGUUUAUGGAAACCUAGAUCCCAUAAUUCUGGAAGAUAUAGUUAACACAUUCUCUAAAACUCCUUUUCACAGUAAGUAAAACUGUAUUUAUUUAUAUAGCUGCUGUCUAUUAUUGUUCAUGCUUUCUACUGGUCUGCAGUUUUAAUCCACUUAAUGAAAUGGUGACAUAAACACAAUAAGAACAGAUUAAUUUUGCAUUACAGUGCACUGAAUGAACUCAUGCUGAUGUGGUUUUACCUGGACAAUUGGUGCUCUGAUCUGAAGAACUGCCAGCUUCAGUUCUGCUGCUGUGUAAACUGUGGACAACAAACAGUUGACAGAUUAA